UGUGUGUGGUGAGGAGGAGGAGAGCAGCUGAGCAUUUUACUUCACCUCACUUUUAAAUCAAACAACAAUGCUCUCAUUAUCGGUGCUGCUGCUGCUUUCAGCUGCAUUCUGUGGUGUUAGCGGUGUGGAGCUCACUCAGACAGCCUCUGUGCUCGUGAAGCCUGGAGAGUCGUUCUCCAUCUCUUGUAAGAUCUCAGUGUCGAGUUAUUGUAUUACCUGGAUACGGCAACCUGCUGGAAAAGCUCUGGAAUGGCUCGGAUAUCUCUGUAGUAGCAGUAGCACUGAUCUCAAAGACACAAUGAAGAGCAAGAUCAGUCUCAGCCAGGACAAAUCCAUCAGCACGGUUUAUUUAAGAGGACAAAACUUUCAGGUCGAGGACACGGCUGUGUAUUACUGUGCCAGAGACACAACACGACAAACUCACUGA